rnacentral:rRNA from 1 species
UACGUAGGUGGCGAGCGUUGUCCGGAUUUACUGGGCGUAAAGGGAGCGUAGGCGGACUUUUAAGUGAGAUGUGAAAUACCCGAGCUCAACUUGGGUGCUGCAUUUCAAACUGGAAGUCUAGAGUGCAGGAGAGGAGAAUGGAAUUCCUAGUGUAGCGGUGAAAUGCGUAGAGAUUAGGAAGAACACCAGUGGCGGAGGCGAUUCUCUGGACUGUAACUGACGCUGAGGCUCGAAAGUGUGGGGAGCAAACAGGAUUAGAUA